GUGGGGAAUAUUGGACAAUGGGCGAAAGCCUGAUCCAGCCAUGCCGCGUGUGUGAAGAAGGUCUUCGGAUUGUAAAGCACUUUAAGUUGGGAGGAAGGGCAGUAAGUUAAUACCUUGCUGUUUUGACGUUACCGACAGAAUAAGCACCGGCUAACUUCGUGCCAGCAGCCGCGGUAAUACGAAGGGUGCAAGCGUUAAUCGGAAUUACUGGGCGUAAAGCGCGCGUAGGUGGUUUUGUAAGUUGGAGGUGGAAUCCCCGGGCGCAACCUGGGAACUGCCUCCAAAACUGCAUGACUAGAGUACGGUAGAGGGUAGUGGAAUUUCCUGUGUAGCGGUGAAAUGCGUAGAUAUAGGAAGGAACACCAGUGGCGAAGGCGACUACCUGGACUGAUACUGACACUGAGGUGCGAAAGCGUGGGGAGCAAACAGGAUUAGAAACCCUAGUAGUCC
rnacentral:rRNA from 1 species